rnacentral:rRNA from 1 species
UACGGGGGGGGCAAGCGUUGUUCGGAAUUAUUGGGCGUAAAGGGUGCGUAGGCGGUUUGGUAAGUCUGUUGUGAAAUCUAUGGGCUCAACUCAUAGUCUGCAUCGGAAACUGCCGGGCUUGAGUAUGGGAGAGGUGAGUGGAAUUCCUGGUGUAGCGGUGAAAUGCGUAGAUAUCAGGAAGAACACCCGUGGCGAAGGCGGCUCUCUGGGACGGUACUGACGCUGAGACGCGAAAGCGUGGGGAGCGAACAGG